UUUAGAAUUUUAAAUGGGGCCUGCUCUUAUUUUUACCCGAUCCAAGACGGCCGAAAUCUUUUGGCCAACCGGGUCUAUCAAGAUCCACCAGGAGAUACCCGUUCCGUACAAAAUCAGCAACACGCUACCUAUUCUGCGGUUCUGCCAUUUCUCCGUCGCCGGUGCUUCUUCAACCAAAUUACAUGUUCGAUCAUCUAAUUAUCUUUACCUUCACUGCUAAAGUUGUGUUAAGAUAUCAUCAUGGAUUCUCCACGUUCUGUCAUGGUUCGGAUUUCUCGCUCUUGUUCGUUUACAUGAUAUUGUUUGGUUUCCUACAGAAAUUUUCUCGGAAUUAUUAUUUCUUUCUCGUAAGCCAAACAUGAGUAGGGAUUUCCCCAGUCUGCGUCCCGAAACUCAACUCACUGCUGUUUGGUUUGUGCCAAUUAGUUUUUAUUUGUUGUGCGUGUUCUCUUGGUGAUUUUGCCGCGUGUGCUUGCAAUCAACGCAUUCAAACUUCAGUUUGGUUUAUAUUAUUUCUACUAAUAAUCUCUAUCUUUGUCUUAGUUCUUGCUUUUACUUUAUUGUCUAGCAAUUCUGCUAAUAAUCAUGUAGACUUCUAUUAAUCAUAAUCAGAGAAAUUUUGGCAAAGAGCCGGGAGUGUUAAGCCUGUUAAUCUGAACCUUGUUAAUCCGAUUUUGAGAAAUGAUGUUACUCUAAAUUAAGUUCUUCCACCUACGGUUAAUACUUCCUGUAUUUUCAAGUUCAAAAGAGGUAUAUUGAUACUUGUAUUGAUUACUUUACAGAUAAUAAAUGCAUUAUCUGUUAUGUCGUAUAUAUUUCCGGCAUGGUACUUGCAAGUCUUUAAUACGGAACUGUGUGCAUUUUGGAAUUGCUCGAUAUAGCUUGGUCGUAUUUCUAUAAUUCAGUUCUUGUGAUUUUCUUAACAGUAGCUUGAGUUCUAAUUAUCUGUAAGCAUCAGGUUUAGCAUGUAAUUCAGCGCUAAAUGACAUAUUGCUUUCUUUUAUAGAUCUUAUGGCAGAGUUGUAUGCACUUUAAAAUUUAUUUAAUUUAAUAUCCAUAUCAUAAUUAGAAAUAAAAAAAAAAAGUCGCAGUUUCAGAAGCAAGGUGCACAGGCUAGAUUGUUUUCACUAUUUUUUAUUAGAGAACUGUGCUGAAAUACUAAUGUCUAUGUGUUUCAUCCCAUCAUUUUGACAUUAUUGUGUCUUGCUGCGAUUCCCAAAAUACAAGGUUCCUAUAUGAUUGUCUCUUUAAAGCUAUCCUUAAACUGCCAAUUAACCAAAGAGCUAUUGUUCAUUGUGUAACUAGGAAGCAAGGUGCUAUAGGCUGUAGUUCAGCCAUUAAAAUUAUACAAAACAUUGGGGAAUUAUUGGGGACAAGAAUAUGUUUAUUUGCUUAAACGAUAGUAGAUGUAAAUAAUGGGAUGUCAUCUGGGACCAAGGACAUGUUUAUUUUUGCAAGCAACUGCAAUAGAAUGGAUAAGAUUAAAUUUUUUUGAAGUACGUACAGACUAGAAAAGUUUUGUGGCUGCCAAUCCAACACUGUUAUUGUCAUCUUUGACGUGCUCAUAAAGCUUUGGUUUGAGAUUAAAAGUUGGAUUUGUUGUCAACUCUUUGAGGGGCAUUUUCAGCAAGUGAUUUAACCCAAAGAAAGACAACUAAGAGUUUUGCCAGUGCCUCCCUUUAAUCACUGUAAAAGGUACGAUUGAAUAUGCCGAUAACUAAUCUUAUAGCUAUAAAUUUGUUUUACUUUGGAGAAUAAUUUGCUCUUAUAUAGUACUGAUGAUUCAUCAUCUUUUUGUUUUUAGAUUUGGAAUCUUGAGUCACUUGACAUGAAUUUAUAUCAGAUAUCAGUUCUAAGUGGAUAAAUUCUGCUAAUUAUUUGAAUAAUUGAUGCUGAUCAUUGUAGUGCUGAGACAUGAAGCCUAUCCUUCUCAAAUAGUGUUCAUUUGUAUGCAAUUUGUUUUCUGUCCUGAACUUCCUGUGGCUUGCUAGUCCCAAGGAUGGGACUGUUAGAAAUGAUAAGUAACCAUGUAUAGACAAAUUGUGUUACCUAAUGGGCACUUCAUUUGAAGUUCUCUGUUAUAAAAGUUUUUGCUAACUAGUCAGAUACUCUAGAAGUUGUAACGGAUCACGACUUUAGAUUCAGAACCGCAUAAGCUAAUAUUCUGGAGAAUGUGAAAGCAAAAUAAAGCUGUUUAGGGCUAAGAAGGUCUAAACAUUUUUUUUUUAAAUAUAAAGUGUGAAAUGUAUUAGUAUGCGGCACCUAGGGGGUGCCAGCCCCUGUACAAUGUAUAAGAAGGUCCAAACAUUAUGAGUUUUGACAAUUUCUUUUUAAGUGAUUAACUUCACUGCAUUCACUUGUAACCAUUGUCUGACAUGUCUUUCAUCUGUAUAUUGCACUAAGGAAGCAUAGAGUGAACUCACGCAGAAGCUAAAUUGGAUUCACUUCUAACCAUUGUCUAAUGUGUUUUUCAUCUGUAUAUUGCACUAAGCAAGUACAGGCUGAGGCUAAACGGAAGCCAUUCAUAUCUUCACUUGUAAACUCUCUUCAUCAGAAACUUUUAUGCAAACAGAAACUGACUCUCAAAUAAGUUGACUCAAGUGGCAGAUUAAUCGUAUAAGAGAUUGGAUGAAGAUGCUCUCAUUAUGUGUUUGAUCCAGCACAAACACAAUAUAUUUUUUCUUUGCUGAUUGACCAUUUUCUCGCUAAGGUGACAUAAAAAAAUAUAUACAGUUUAAUUCUUGAGAAGUUUAAAGCAUGCAUGUCCUGAAGGAGCCAAAAUGAAUUACUGCAUCAUAAAGAACUUAUCGUGUGUUAAAGAUAUACAACAUACUGUACAUCUCCAUGAAUGCACACACAUUGUAGUUGCUCAUUGAUUAGCUGAUUUGUUUUGUUCAAUCUGAAACUUUUUUAGAUUAUCAAAAUUGGAUUUCAUUGCAUCCAAGGUAUUUAAUGUUUACAUGUUAAUUAAGCUAGAUUUAUAAACGUAUUUCAUCUUAGUUAUUUGCUUGUUGUUGUAGCAGAUAUUGCUAGGCCUUGAUCUCUGUGAUUUUUCAUGCUUUUAACAUGUGGAACUAUGCCUCUUCUUUAUAUUAUAAACCAGGGUUGUGUCCAAUAACCAGUAGUAGACUUGAAAAAUAAGGGUUAUUGCUAUUUAUUUAUGUGAAGGAUGAGUUGGCCAACAUUUAGUUGCUAGCUUCAGUGAAAAUCUUUCAGUACACGUGGUUUUUAUUUAUAUCUAAAAGGUUUAUCUGAAGCAUUGAAUAGUUAUACAGUUAGAUAUUGCUAAGAAAUGCUUAUUUAGUGGAAUGGACUUGGAUGAUUUGUUAUCUUUUGGUGGAUGCUGAAAGCAGAAGUAAAACUCGCAUCUUUAAUAAAUGAGCUUGGAAAGAGUAAAAUCACAUUUUAUUUGGGGUAGGGAGGUAAAAGGCUUUACUGCUUGUUAUUGUAAGAGAACUUUUGCAUUUUGGUUCUGCUCUACUCUUUCGUUGUCCUUUUAUCUGCUAAUGGAACUUGCUUUAGUGGCCUGAUUAUACCUUCCUAGCAGGUUUUAAAAUCUUGUAGCAUUUUGGCUAAAGAACCUGAAGAUUGCCCCCACCCUGACUUGUUAUUACUGGAUGGUUGUUCUUCACAUAGAAUCUUAAAUUUAAAAUUAAGAAGGUAUUGAUCCAUUUUCUUUUAUCUGCUAAGCCCUUAAUCCGAGGAUGUGUAAUUUUUGUAAGUCAAAGGCUUCAUUUAGAAGUCCUUUUUGUUUACAUCAGGCAUACUUCCUUUCUUCCUCUAAUGGGGCGAUUACGUACCAACAUUUGAAACUAAUCUACUGAGAUAUUGUAAUUUGAAGAAGGAGAUAUCAUAAUUUGAAACUAAUCUACUGAAUCAGAUUAGUAUUUUCACCUUAUAUUUACAGAAACCAUAACAACAUCUCCCUUAUCUCAUGCAGAAUAUCAUAUCAAAAUUUGAGCUUACCCUAUAAUUACACGCACUGCAGUAAGCAAAAUUAAUAUGAUAGUAUAAUUGAUUUGUCAAGUUAUCUUUCGUUCAUUAGCUGAAGUACUUUAAGAUUGUUAUCUGUCAAUGAAUGCUCUAAUGGAACUGUGUAGGCAUGCAUGUUUGAUCUUCUGCAUGAGUUAAAAUAAAAUGAAGAUAUAGAUUUAGAGAAGAGUGUCUAGGGCUGGUGUUUUACUCGUCACAAGGUAAUGAGGUUGAAAAGAGUGAGGUAUAAUUAAUGAAGCUCAUAAGAGAGUGAGGUAUAAUGAACAAAGCUCAUUAGAGAGUGAGGUAUAAUGAACGAAGCUCGUAAGCCUAAAAUCUCUAAUCUAGACAUUAUGAUCAAUGUAGGGCUUAUUAUGUUUGCAGGAAUUUUACCCGAGUUGUUGAGCUCAAAAUCAGGGGUGCUUCAGAAUCACUUGCUCUAUUUCUAUAUGCAUAGAGCAGAGUGAGUCACCUUCCUAAAAUUUUUAAUUGGCUUUUUAAGUUUUUCCUUUUAAGGAAUAUAUCUAUUACUUUAGUUUGGAAAUGAUGUUGCAGAUCUUUUCUUAAUUGCUCCAGAUUUUAGUUUAGAUACGUCUUUAAUUUUAGUUGCUCCAGAUUUUAGCUUUUUGUCAACUGCUGAAUGUGAAUAAGAUGCUGUAGUUUAUAUAAGAUGUUCCAAAAACAUGUUCUGUUAUUCUCCUAGUCUUGCAACUUUCGUUGCUUAAUAUGGUAAGGUUUGCUUACUAGUAACCUGGACAAAGAUGUUAAUACCUAAUUACCUCCAAUAAACUUUUCUUUGUGUGUGAAUGGAUCCCUUUAGGACAUUUCAUAUCAGAGUAGUCUGUAUUUUGCUGGCCUUCUCUUCACUUGCUUGUUAAUUCCUGUUUGAAAUUAGAUGCUAAGAGUGCUUUUCUUGCUUCCGUUGUUUCUUGCUGAGGAACAUUUUUUGCUUUGAAGGUUGUAUUGCAUGCUCUCCUGUUUCAGGUUUGUAUCAUCCAAAGUUGAAUAUUUUAGUACUAUGAUGGCAUGACCUUAAUGGGACUGAAUUUUUCUCUCCUUUUUUUUUUUCCCCUCUUUUCUUCAAGUUUUGGAUGAGGUAGUAAUAUCCACGUCAUUUCACCAGCUCCAAUCAAGACAGGUUGUUCCAGCUGUCAAACACCAAUUUUCAGGUUACACAAAAGCUAUAUACUAUUUUUCUUUACUUAUAAAAACUUGCACCAGAAAUCUUUAGUUCCUCUGUUGUUUCCUCUUGAUAAGUAUCUAAUUUUCGGUAUUAUUCAGAAUUAUCGUAUCACGAUAUUUUCAAUUUAUUAUUUCACCCGUGGGGUUCUGUACAAUUUGCCUAGUUUCUCACCUGAUCCUUCUUACAUUAGUCCAAAAAAUGAAAUAAAAAUAUUUUUGACAUAGUCGAAGGAAUUGGGGAGGGGUGUUAGAAACUGCCUUCACCUCAUUGAUUCUUGCAGCUGAAUUUGGGAGCCACCAUGAAUUCAUAUGUUCCAUCACACAGUGAUAAAAAUUGAAAUGUUGCAUCUUCUGUUCGUAUUUCGGUUGUUAUGGAGACAACCCAGUGGUUCAUUCAUUCAAUAUCAUUUUGAAAUUUGGGUUAAUCUUGUAGGCGGGACCCUUUGAAUUAAUAACCCGAUUUAAUAGAGGGCCAAUAUUUGCUUUUUACCAUUGAUUUCUGCCACUCUCUGUAGAGAGUUUUCUCUGUGCAGAGCGUCAACGGGCAAAACCAUUAAACAUUUUGCUCACGUGCCUUAGUGAAAUUCUAGCUGGUAGAAAUCACUAUGACUUGUAUGAUUUCUACUGUUAUAGAUGUGUUUACCACUGGUGGUUAAUACCUAUCCUUUAUUAAUUUCUCAGUAAAAAAGAGUACAGCACAUCACCUGAUUCUAGACCAAGUGAAAUCAUCCUGAGGCACAGGAUAAUGCUCAUGUACUACGGUAAAAGCUUGAAUUCGAUCAAGCGGCAAUUUUUGGUGACUUGUUAAAGUGGGUUCCACUCAUAGACAGGUUUUCCAUCCAUUUUCUGAAAGUUUUACCGACGACUAGGCUGUCUUUCUAGGUAGGUCCCUGAUGGCUUGCGUCUGAUAAUUUUGCAUCUUUUACUGUUCUCCUUUAGAAGAAGCCUUUAUAAUUUCUUUUUUACCCUUCAAACUUUCUUUUUGCUGGCUGACCUGUAUUCGUUCCUUUGUAAAUCUAGUCCCUCAACGGAUAUCUCUUAUCAUAUCUCAAGUUGCUAGUCUCUGUUUGAACAUUUUUUUACUUUUACAGCUGAAAUUGACGUUCCACGAAAGAAUGUUAAAAAAAAAAAAAAAAGAGCAAACAGUGCUCUAUGUAAGAUCUGAUAAAGAUUUUUAAUAGAUUUUGUUAUGUCCUACACCUUACAAUUACACCAUGACAGGUUCAUAGCAGGAAGACCAGUUGCCUAUAAGGGGCAAAUCAAUGGCCCCAUUGUUUUUGGCUGACAGUAAUUUAGUAAUUGGAGAAAUGUCACAUGAUCGUUGAAACUUUUCCAAUGAAUUGAACUACAUUCCGGCAUUAAGUAAAUUUUUGUUGUGUUGACAUAUUUAUCCUGUUUCUUUUAUCAUCCAUUUCUUGAUUUAGAAUUCGUUUUAUUCUCAAAUUUUUUAUUCUAGUAUUAAUUUAAUCUUUCGUCAUCAUUGUUAAAUUAGUCCAACAUUAUGUAAUGCCUUAUAGUCAUUGUUAAAUCAUAGGCCAAUCAUUUGAUAUUCUCUCUAAUAAAGGUUAUUAUUUCAUGCAAGAGCAAAGGUUGUCACUGACAAUGAACCAGAAUACUCAGCAAAAUUAUUCGCCAACAACAAAGAGGUUUUUGGAAACGAUCAAUUUUGUAAUCUAAGAGGCGUUUUAGCAAGAGAUUUAAUUUCCGACCAUUUUUCACCUGCUGGGACUGGAGGAUGUGUACGAACUUUGUGUUGCCUGUGCUUUGGAUUUGUCAAAAUCAACUUUGAGCAAGGAAACACAAGAUUAGCAAAUAUCAGAAGUGGGAAGCAAUAAAUGUUACUAAAGUUUAAGCAGAAGGAGCUAAACCCAUCACAUGGAAGCUUUUAGGGUGGGGCGAGGUUUCUUUUACAUGGAGGACGCAGGCAUCUUAUCUUCAAGGGGUACAAAGUCUUUGGAUGCGAUGAGAAACCACCACAUGGCACUCCUCACCACAGUUGUGAAUUGGGGACCACUCAUUUUAAUUUUUUGUAUUUUCUCCACGCUUAUCUCUUCUAAUCAUUUGCUACUUUUUUGUUUUCCUGUUUUUCUUUAUUAUCUGACUAAUUAGCCAACUUAAACAUUGAUUAAGAAAAAUAGAUUAUAUAAAUGGCUAAUGAUUAAUAA